rnacentral:rRNA from 1 species
GUAUAUGCCUACAACAUAGUGUUAAUGCACUAGAUCCCAUUAGAACUCUGCAUUUAAGCGUUCUUAGGAUAGAGUAGUACUAUGAUGGGUGACCAAACGGGAAGUCCUAGUGUUUUAAAUG